rnacentral:pre_miRNA from 1 species
UUGUUGUUGCUGCUGUGAUGCUGAGGACAGACACAGCAUCACAGUACUGGAACAGAGCU